GUUAGGGUUUGCAAGUACAUGAUCCAAAUUCUGGGCAUUUUAUGCAUAGUAACCAAUGCUCUUUCAAAUGUAUUGUUCAGGGUUUCAUACUGGGAGUGAGUGACCGGUAGGUUUCUAACGAUUUCGAGACGCUCAGUAAGAUAUGCAUGCCAAAGCUUGUAGCUCCCUGGUAAAGCUCUGAGGGCUCUCUCAUAGAUGAUGAACCGCUUUUUGAAAGGUGCUUCACGGCGGGCUAUUAGGUAGCGCCACCAGAGCUUGAGGCUGAAUGGGUUGCGCAACAGCUCCUCUUCGUAUAAUAGAUCAUCUUGGGAAGGGUAAAGCUCUCUAGAAAUUGACAUCUCUGAGCGGAAGUAGAAGAAUUUUUAUGGACAUAAACCUCCUAAUAUCACACACAGAGACAAACAGAGUGAUUCUUGUGAACUCCUAAUCGACGGAAAAAUGAUUUGCCGAACUGUGAAUUUCAAAAUAAAACCCCAAACCUCUCAGUAGCGAGCACAAACAAAUAAGCACCAAUGAGCUGCUAAAACUUUGCUCUGACUGAAAUUUUGCAGUGAAAUCUGAAUCAAUACGAUCGAGAUGAGGAAACCAAGUUCCCAAAUUCUAUUCGGCCAGAAACUGAAUUUUCUGUAUCUUUUCCUGUUAAAC
rnacentral:misc_RNA from 1 species